UGAGGAAUAUUGGUCAAUGGACGAGAGUCUGAACCAGCCAAGUAGCGUGAAGGAUGACUGCCCUAUGGGUUGUAAACUUCUUUUAUAUGGGAAUAAAGUUCAGUAUGUAUACUGUUUUGUAUGUACCAUAUGAAUAAGGAUCGGCUAACUCCGUGCCAGCAGCCGCGGUAAUACGGAGGAUCCGAGCGUUAUCCGGAUUUAUUGGGUUUAAAGGGAGCGUAGGCGGACGCUUAAGUCAGUUGUGAAAGUUUGCGGCUCAACCGUAAAAUUGCAGUUGAUACUGGGUGUCUUGAGUGCAGCAGAGGUAGGCGGAAUUCGUGGUGUAGCGGUGAAAUGCUUAGAUAUCACGAAGAACUCCGAUUGCGAAGGCAGCUUACUGGACUGUAACUGACGCUGAUGCUCGAAAGUGUGGGUAUCAAACAGGAUUAGAUACCCU
rnacentral:rRNA from 1 species